GACGAACGCUGGCGGCGUGCUUAACACAUGCAAGUCGAACGGAAAGGCCCUGCUUGCCGGGUACUCGAGUGGGGAAGGGGGGAGUAACACGUGGGUGACCUGCCCUGCACGGGGGGAUAAGCUUGGGAAACUGGGGGUAAGACCGGAUAGGAGGACGCGUGAGUGUGGUGGUUGGAAAGUGGUUUCGGGGUAGGAUGAGUGCGCGGAAGCGCAGCUUGAGGGUGGGGGAGUGGCCUACCAAGGCGGCGACGGGUAGCCGGCCUGAGAGGGUGUACGGCCACAUUGGCACGGAGAUACGGCCGCGACUCCUACGGGAGGCAGCAGUGGGGAAUAUUGCACAAGGGGCGCAAUCCUGAUGCAGCGACGCCGCGUGGGGGAUGAAGGCCUUCGGGUUCUAAACUCCUUUCGCUAGGGACGAAGCGUUGUUGUGACGGUACCUAGAUAAGAAGCACCGGCUAACUACGUG
rnacentral:rRNA from 1 species